UACGUAGGGUGCGAGCGUUGUCCGGAAUUAUUGGCGUAAAGAGCUUGUAGGCGGUUUGUCGCGUCUGCUGUGAAAAUCCGGGGCUCAACCCCGGACUUGCAGUGGGUACGGGGCAGACUAGAGUGUGGUAGGGGAGACUGGAAUUCCUGGUGUAGCGGUGAAAUGCGCAGAUAUCAGGAGGAACACCGAUGGCGAAGGCAGGUCUCUGGGCCACUACUGACGCUGAGAAGCGAAAGCAUGGGGAGCGAACAGG
rnacentral:rRNA from 1 species